rnacentral:rRNA from 1 species
UGUGUCCGUACCGCAAACCGACACAGGUAGUCGAGGAGAGAAUCCUCAGGCGUUUGAGAGAACUCUGCUGAAGGAACUCGGCAAAUUAACCCCGUAACUUCGGGAGAAGGGGUACCCCGGUAGGGUUUAUAGCCCGAGGGGGUGGCACAUAAAUGUCCCAGGCGACUGUUUAACAAAAACACAGGUCUCUGCAAACUCCAAAGAGGAGGUAUAGGGGCUGACGCCUGCCCGGUGCCGGAAGGUCAAGAGGAGCGGUUAGCGCAAGCGAAGCUGCGAAUUUAAGCCCCGGUGAACGGCGGCCGUAACUAUAACGGUCCUAAGGUAGCGAAAUUCCUUGUCGGGUAAGUUCCGACCUGCACGAAUGGCGUAACGAUCUGGGAACUGUCUCCAGCAGAGACUCAGCGAACUUGUAGCACCGGUGAAGAUGCCGGUUACCCGCACUUAGACGGAAAGACCCCGUGCACCUUUACUACACCUUGACAUUGAGGUUGGCGUUGGACUGUGCAGGAUAGGUGGGAGACUAUGAAACUGGCUCGUUAGGGUCGGUGGAGCCGACGUUGAGAUACCACCCUGUGCAAUGCUGAUCUCUAACUCGCGCCCGUGAUCCGGGUGGAAGACAGUGUCAGGCGGGUAGUUUGACUGGGGCGGUCGCCUCCUAAAGCGUAACGGAGGCGUGCGAAGGUUCCCUCAGGCUGUUUGGAAAUCAGCCGCAGAGCGCAAUAGUAUAAGGGAGCUUGACUGCGAGUCAGACACGACGAGCAGGUGCGAAAGCAGGUUAUAGUGAUCCGGUGGUUCCGAAUGGAAGGGCCAUCGCUCAACGGAUAAAAGGUACGCCGGGGAUAACAGGCUGAUCUUGCCCAAGAGUUCAUAUCGACGGCAAGGUUUGGCACCUCGAUGUCGACUCAUCGCAUCCUGGGGCUGGAGCAGGUCCCAAGGGUUCGGCUGUUCGCCGAUCAAUAGCGGUACGUGAGUUGGGUUCAGAACGUCGCGAGACAGUUCGGUCCCUAUCUAGUGUGGGCGUAGGAUAUUUGAGAGGAGCUGUCCUUAGUACGAGAGGACCGGGAUGGACUGACCUCUGGUGUUCCAGUUGUGC